UGGCUUCAUAGCUCAGUUGGUAGAGCAUCGCACCGGUUACGCGGAGGUUGUCAUGAGUUCAUAUCCCGUUGUUAA